rnacentral:tRNA from 1 species
UGCCUUGUGGUGUAAUUGGCAACACACCUGACUUUGAUUCAGGCAUUCUAGGUUCGAUCCCUAGCGAGGCAG